GACGAACGCUGGCGGCGUGCUUAACACAUGCAAGUCGAACGGAAAGGCCCUGCUUUUGUGGGGUGCUCGAGUGGCGAACGGGUGAGUAACACGUGAGUAACCUGCCCUUGACUUUGGGAUAACUUCAGGAAACUGGGGCUAAUACCGGAUAGGAGCUCCUGCUGCAUGGUGGGGGUUGGAAAGUUUCGGCGGUUGGGGAUGGACUCGCGGCUUAUCAGCUUGUUGGUGGGGUAGUGGCUUACCAAGGCUUUGACGGGUAGCCGGCCUGAGAGGGUGACCGGCCAAAUUGGGACUGAGAUACGGCCCAGACUCCUACGGGAGGCAGCAGUGUGGAAUAUUGCACAAUGGGCGGAAGCCUGAUGCAGCAACGCCGCGUGCGGGAUGACGGCCUUCGGGUUGUAAACCGCUUUCGCCUGUGACGAAGCGUGAGUGACGGUAAUGGGUAAAGAAGCACCGGCUAACUACGUG
rnacentral:rRNA from 1 species